CAUUCUGAGGCUUGUUGGGGCCGUCAGGCUGCUCAGAAUGGGGGCUGAGGAUUCCCUCCUAAAUGAGAGAGCCUUGUCCAGCUGAAAGGAGCCUCGAUGACCCUCGACUUCAGUCCUUUACUAGAAAUCGAGGUCCGUACAGGUGGCGUGACCAUUGGACAUGCACCGACGGUGGCAGAGCCAGGACCCCUCAGCUUCCGGGCCGUUGUCCCCCUUCGGCUGUCACCACCCUCUAGGGCGUCCCUGACCCCACCCACACCCCCGCACACCCUCCACGUCUGACUUCACUCUCGGACCAGUUGCUGCAGUUCCCACCCCUGACCUGCUCUUGCUUCCUGCACAUUUGACACAAACGGCACCCACCACCGGAGUGUGAGUUCCCGAGGACACCCACACCUCUUGUCAAGACACCCGGAAGUCUUUCAGGCUGAUGGGACCCCUAAAGGACCCCAUUUGCGUUCAUGCAUGGGGACGCGUGCCGUAGUGGGGCAU